CGAACGGGUGAGUAACACGUGGGCAAUCUGCCCUUCACUCUGGGACAAGCCCUGGAAACGGGGUCUAAUACCGGAUAACACUCUGUCCCGCAUGGGACGGGGUUAAAAGCUCCGGCGGUGAAGGAUGAGCCCGCGGCCUAUCAGCUUGUUGGUGGGGUAAUGGCCUACCAAGGCGACGACGGGUAGCCGGCCUGAGAGGGCGACCGGCCACACUGGGACUGAGACACGGCCCAGACUCCUACGGGAGGCAGCAGUGGGGAAUAUUGCACAAUGGGCGAAAGCCUGAUGCAGCGACGCCGCGUGAGGGAUGACGGCCUUCGGGUUGUAAACCUCUUUCAGCAGGGAAGAAGCGAAAGUGACGGUACCUGCAGAAGAAGCGCCGGCUAACUACGUGCCAGCAGCCGCGGUAAUACGUAGGGCGCAAGCGUUGUCCGGAAUUAUUGGGCGUAAAGAGCUCGUAGGCGGCUUGUCACGUCGGAUGUGAAAGCCCGGGGCUUAACCCCGGGUCUGCAUUCGAUACGGGCUAGCUAGAGUGUGGUAGGGGAGAUCGGAAUUCCUGGUGUAGCGGUGAAAUGCGCAGAUAUCAGGAGGAACACCGGUGGCGAAGGCGGAUCUCUGGGCCAUUACUGACGCUGAGGAGC
rnacentral:rRNA from 1 species